rnacentral:rRNA from 1 species
AACGAACGCUGGCGGCAUGCCUAACACAUGCAAGUCGAACGAGACCUUCGGGACUAGUGGCGCAUGGGUGCGUCACGCGUGGGAACCUGCCUUUAGGUUCGGAAUAACUCAGAGAAAUUUGAGCUAAUACCGGAUGAUGUCUUCGGACCAAAGAUUUAUCGCCUUUAGAUGGGCCCGCGUUGGAUUCGCUAGUUGGGGGGGUAAAAGCCUACCAAGGCGACGAUCCAUAGCUGGUCUGAGAGGAUGAUCCGCCACACUGGGACUGUGACACGGCCCAGACUCCUACGGGAGGGAGCAGUGGGGAAUAUUGGACAAUGGGGGAAAGCCUGAUCCAGCACUGCCGCGUGAGUGAUGAAGGCCGUAGAGUUGUAAAGCUCUUUUACCCGAGAUGAUAAUGACAGUAUCGGAAGAAUAAGCUCCGGCUAACUCCGUG